GAAAUGCGAUAAGUAAUGUGAAUUGCAGAAUUCAGUGAAUCAUCGAAUCUUUGAACGCAUCUUGCGCUCCUUGGUAUUCCGAGGAGCAUGCCUGUUUGAGUGUCAUCAAGUUCUCAACCAUACCUCGGUGUGGCUUGGAUUUGGGGGGUUUUUGCAGGCUUCAAAGAAAGUCGGCUCCCCUGAAAAGCAUUAGCGGUGUCCGAGUACCUUUGGUGUGAUAACUAUCUAUGCCUUGGUGUAUACGAUGCAUGCUGCUUCUGAACUUCAUUUUUAUUGACAAAUUUGACCUCAAAUCAGGUAGGAUUACCCGCUGAACUUAA
rnacentral:misc_RNA from 1 species